AGAACUCGUGUUACGAUUUUAACGCCGAGUAAAAGUAAACCUGAAUACGGACUACCCAUGAUGAUAAAUUCCCUGUUGGUUGCUUUUUCAUCGCUUCACUUCGAUUUUUACUUCAACUGUAUCGAUACUUUGUUCGAUGUGUUACGAUUUCUUCUGCAGUGCCUAUAACUAUUCGUGAUAUUUUUCUAGAUUUCUUUCAACUGUAGAUACCAUAGUUGCAUUUAUUCUUCGAGUUGUGCUUCUGCUACUUAUACUCCAGAUACCUACAUACAAGAAAAUGAUCUCAUAUUCUUCCAUUCUACUAACGAUAUUGAUCACAUGCUCUGUGUACGAGUAUUCUCUCGGUAUGCAACUCUCUUACCAAAAUUACACUCGGUUUUUCUUUCGUCCAAGAGAAAACAUCACUAUUACGUGCAUUGGUGAAGAAGAGGUUACGUGGGAGAUUCAGACCUCAUCCCAAGCUAAUUAUUCAAUCAGGGCGGAAACUCCAAGAAGAAAAGUGUUUGAAAUAAGAAAUGCUACAAUUUUGAAUGCUGCAACUUGCAUAUGUCGAUCAAAUAAAACUAACGAGCACAUGUUGCUUUUGAUAGACCCUGACUUGGUUCAGUUCGAAUAUGAAAGGCCAGAAAAUAUCGCAUGUCUAUUAGAAAUGGAUUAUGGUGCAUUCAGUUAGAUCAGAUACUCUUUUCAUUUCAUUUUAUUCCUCCGAUACACUUCUUUUCUAGUAUACAUAUUACGUCUAAUAAUGAUUUCUAUUGAUAUUCAGAUAUCCACAUAUGUAUUUAGGAAUUGUGGAAUUUAAAAUUAGACUACUUAUAUGUAAUUUGUGAAUUAAAACAUUGGAAACAGCUA